rnacentral:lncRNA from 1 species
GAGCUGGGGAAAGUGGGAGACUGUCUGAAGUUGGCUGCUUGGGGUGUGGGUGAGGCCCCGGGAAGCUGGGGGUUGGGUUGCAGCCCUGUCACUGCAGCCUGGGGCCCUGCGUUUCCUCUGGAAAAGCUGCUCUGUUUCACCAUCUCCCCUCAGUCUGAGUCCCAGGGACCCUGCACAGGCGUCUGCAGGGCAGGACGGGCCCUGAAAUCUGGCAGCUGGGAGGUUUGCAGCAGUUUCUAACCCUCCCUCCCCUGCUUCUUCCAGGAGGCACCACAAAAGCAUCUGGCCUCUCUGGGAAAAGAGAGAGAAGCAGCCAAAGCCGAGGAGGAGCAGCAAAGCGAGGAGCUGCUGAAACAGAUGGCAGCCGAGAGGCAGAAGAUCGUCUGGAAGUGGAAGGAGCUGCAAGGGUUUUUGGAGGAGCAGGAGCAGCGGCUGCUGGCCCAGCUGGAAGAGCUAGAGAGAGCCAUUGUCCAGAGAAGGGAUGAGGGCAUCUGCAGCCUGUCCUGGGAGAUUUCCCUGCUCAGCGAGAGGGGAGGAGCGAAGGGGCAGCAGCAGCUGAGCCAACCCCUGCAGGGUGCUGGGAGCACUGGGGGCAGGGAGGACAGGACAUUUCGGAAGCUAGAGCCGUCGUUUGCGGAGCUGGAGAAGAGACUCAGCGAUUUUUCUCUGAAAAGUGCCAUGCUGCAGGAGGUGCUGCUGGGAUUCAAAGCCAUCCCGAUGAUGAUUAAUUUCUGGGAAACAUCCUCAGCAGAAUUAUUUGAAGGUCUUGCACCAGACAGUAAAGGCACAGAGGCAGUGGCUUGUGGGAAAGAGGGUAAGUUUCAUUACUGAUCCUGCUCUUAAAAAGAGGGCUCCUCUUAGAAAACUAGUUUAACGUACAAGCACUGAGAGACUUUAAGAAAGUCACUAAUCACAGGAGCAAUGGGUCUCUUUGGAACAUAUUUUAACUGACAAGCCCUUAGAGCCUUUCUGAGAAACAGGAUAGAACUAUGGUCAAAAUGAAGUGAAAACUAAUGAACGUGCAUCAUGAGGAGAAAGUGGAGGGAACCCAAAUUAAAAUAUAAUGAAAACAAAGCCUCUCAGAAAGGAAAUAUGUCAGUUUAGUAGCAGUGUUGCCAUGUCAG